rnacentral:rRNA from 1 species
AUUGAACGCUGGCGGCGGGCCUAACACAUGCAAGUCGAGCGGAUGAAGGGAGCUUGCUCCUGGAUUCAGCGUCGGACGGGCGAGUAAUGCCUAUGAAUCUGCCUGGUAUUAGUUGAUAACAUCCUGAGACGAGCGCUAAUACCGCAUACUUCCUGAGGGAGAAAGUUGGGGGUCUUCGGACCUCACGCUAUCAUAUGAUCCUAGGUCGGAUUAGCUAGUUGGUUGGGUAAAGACCUGCCAAGGCGACGAUCCGUAACUAGUCUGAGAGGCUGAUCAGUCACACUGGAACGGAGACACGGUCCAGACUCCUACGGGAGGCAGCAGUGGGGAAUAUUGGACAAUGGGCGAAAGCCUGGCACAGUCAUGCCGAGCGUGUGAAGAAGGUCUUCGGAUCGUAAAGACCUUUAAGUUGGGAGGAAGGGCAGUAAGCUAAUACCUUGCUGUUUUGACGUUAACAACAGAAGAAGCACCGGCUAACUUCGUG